AAGUCGUAACAAGGUCCGUAGGUGAACCUGCGGAAGGAUCAUUA
rnacentral:rRNA from 7 species